CGGACCCUCGUGACUGGCGGAAAUCCCUGCCUUACAAGCAGGGUGUCGGCGGUUCGAGUCCGUCUGGGCCCACCCA
rnacentral:tRNA from 1 species